GAUGAACGCUGGCGGCGUGCCUAACACAUGCAAGUCGAACGGGGUGAUACCUUCGGGGAUCACUUAGUGGCGAACGGGUGAGUAACGCGUGAGAAACCUGCCUUUCAGUGGGGGACAACAGUUGGAAACGACUGCUAAUACCGCAUAAUGUCAUUUAGGGGCAUCCCUGGAUGACCAAAGCUUUAUGUGCUGAAAGAUGGUCUCGCGUCUGAUUAGCUAGUUGGUGAGGUAACGGCUCACCAAGGCGACGAUGUCUAGGGGUUCUGAGAGGGUGAACGGCCACAUUGGGACUGAGACACGGCCCAAACUCCUACGGGAGGCAGCAGUGGGGAAUAUUGCACAAUGGGGGAAACCCUGAUGCAGCGACGCCGCGUGAGUGAAGAAGUAUUUCGGUAUGUAAAGCUCUAUCAGCAGGGAAGAAAAUGAACGGUACCUGACUAAGAAGCCCCGGCUAACUACGUG
rnacentral:rRNA from 1 species